GACGAACGCUGGCGGCGUGCUUAACACAUGCAAGUCGAACGGACGAGUGAGAUAAGUUUACUUAACUCACAAGUUAGUGGCGGACGGGUGAGUAACACGUGGAUAAUCUACCUGCAACACCGGGAUAACGCUGUGAAAACGGUGCUAAUACCGGAUACGUUCCCUUGUGCGCAUGUAUGAGGGAAGAAAGCUCAGGCGGUUGCAGAUGAGUCCGCGGCUGAUUAGCUAGUUGGUGAGGUAAAGGCUCACCAAGGCGAUGAUCAGUAGCCGGCCUGAGGGGGUGAACGGCCACACUGGGACUGAGACACGGCCCAGACUCCUACGGGAGGCAGCAGUGGGGAAUCUUCCGCAAUGGGCGCAAGCCUGACGGAGCAACGCCGCGUGGGUGAAGAAGGCCUUCGGGUUGUAAAGCCCUGUCUUAUGGGAAGAAGUCAGUGACGGUACCAUAGGAGGAAGCCACGGCUAACUACGUG
rnacentral:rRNA from 1 species